rnacentral:lncRNA from 1 species
CUUGAAAGUCUGCUUCUCAUUUCAUUCCCCAAGUUCACUUCACAAACAUUGAGGCUCAAAAGUAUGUACGUGGAUGUUGAAAGAGCAAAGACAAAGAGAUGAAGAAUCAAUAGCCAACAACAAAAUAGAGCCCAACAACAGGAAGACAACCAACAAUACUAAACCCAGAAAACAACCAAUAGAACAGUAAGAAGCAGUAAACCAGAACUUAAUCUUCAAGCCAUCCUCAAUUCAUUUCUCAAAUCAGAUUACAACUAUGGAAUUUUUGGAGAAUUUUGACUAGCACAAGAGGAAUCAGAAAUCCAAAACCAAAAGCAGAAUUUCUUGCAGUUUUCAACAGGGAAUGCAAAAUUUCAGAAAAAUUUCUAAAACAAUCAGCCGUUUCAGCUUUUCAGGGGUUUUUUCCUCUCAAAGUCUGACUUGAAUAUCAAGUAAUGAUACCUUUAUAGGCAAGGCAUUAGGGCUGUUGAAAGAUAUCAUUCUUUGCACUUUGCCCCCUUUUGAAUUUUCAUUAUAGCUCAGAUGCCCUUAAUUUGGCUAUCAAAAUUUCAAAACAGCCCCAACCCAGCUUCCUAUAAGCUUCUCAAUCUGUUACAACAAUAUUCCCUACCAUAGAAUCCCUAAACUACCCUCUACACCCCUGUUAAUUACCCUUCUAGCCAAACAAAACCUAGGUCUAAUUGGACCAAGUUAAUGGGUCCAAAUAAACCCAAUUCAGUUCACUUCCGGCUAUUCAAUCCUUAUGAGCCCAAACAAACGAAUAGCCCAAUUAAAGACUGAAAUACCCAAAGCAAGCAAACAUUUCAACAAUUAAAAUCUAGCCUAAAUAGUUUGUUAACUAGAAUUAACUAAGUUAGUAAACUAAGUUAAUUAACGGCUAAUUAUACUGAUUAAAAUAAAAGUGUCGGACUAAUCAUGCACGAACAAAUUACCCCGGAACAAAUAAAAAGAGACACGAAGAAGAGAAGAAACAGAGCAGUAGAAAAGAACAAUGAAGAAAAGGUUAAACCAAAGAAAGAAAAGAAAAUACCUAAAAAAAAUCUGGUAUCUGAAAGAGGGGACCUGGAUCUUCAAUUUUUUAAUUUUCCGGUCAAUUUUGAUGUUAAUUGUAUGCUCUUACAAAAAGCACACGACUAAAAUCAGAUUAGUCCCAAAAUUGCGACAAAAUCUUGGCUUGGGAUUUUUAUGCUCAUCUUCGAUCUAAUAUUUGAGAAACUCUAGAAAGAUUCGAAGGGAACUGACCCGGGAUUUGGGAAGAGGGGGUCGUGGUGGUUCUGUGGUGUAUUUUUGGAGUCGAUUGGGUAAACUAGGGUUCGGGUCCGAUCUUUGAUCUAAUAUUCGAAGGGUUUGGCUGAGAUUCGAGGGAAACGGUUUGGGGUUUUGGAAUGGGAAGGUGUAGAGGAGUCAGGGGUGUAAAUUUGGUGGUGUUUGGAUGCCGGCCGCUUCCAUAGGCGAUUUCCGACGAGCGGCAGGCGGUGGUUUAGGGCGGGGCUAAAGGGAGAUGAGAGACG